UUUCUUUGUUUACCUCACAGUGUUUUUAUGAAGAUAAGUGAAGGGGAAGGUCAGGGGGUAUUAGUCAUAUUUAAGAAGAAUAUUACUGAAAACAAUGUAGUGUAAAAGUAAAUACUAGGGCAUAUGAAGAAAAUAAUCUUUCUUCUUUACAGUGAACGAUUGUUGGGGAUUGGGGUUCAGUAGUUGCAGAGUUUUCUCUAGUUAUGGGAGUUUGAGAUAGAUCUGGAGACAAAUGGUCCCUGGAAAUGGCUGUGUAAAUCACAAGGGGAUGAUUUACUUGGCUGAUAACCCAAGAUGGAAAAGACCAGUUCAUAUGCUACCUUAAUGCCGCGGUUACAGAUGAAAAGAAAUCCAGGAUACCUUGUGAUGAGCAGCACCCAGAAGUGAAAGCUGACUGUUAUGUGAACAACCUGGCAGAAGCCAUUGACGUGAUUCUCAGGCAUUUGCAUAAGUAAAAGUGCUGCAGGAGGCCACUUAAGGCAAAGAGCUGUUAAUGUAAGAUCUUUGGCGUAACUGCACAUUUCUAUUAAUGUUCAAGUCUUCAUCCAAUGCUUAUGUACUAAUUGUGAAGCACUACAAACAUGCCUUCACAAUCUAGUUUAAUUUGCCAUUAUACCCAGCUAACGUGAUAUAUUGACCAUAAUGGAAAAACAAAAAUGAAGUUCAAUGCAUGCUUAUUACUCUGCCCCAGGAAUCGUUUGAAUCUUAUUUGUCUGUCUGGGGAUACUGUAUCAUAUCACUGAAUAAACAUCUGUGCCAUGUACUACUUGACAUGGGAACUGCUUCUUAUCUUGGC